CGGAGACCCACCCACCAGAACCGGAAGGUUUGAAGCCGGAAUUCGCCGGAAAAUUCGCCGGAAAGAGGCGUAACUGUGUUUUUUCGUGAAUUGAAGCCGAUAGUUUAAUGCAAGUCAGGGGUGGUGGAGGAAGAUUUCACAGCGAAAUGGAUAGAUAACAAUGACAUGUUCGUUGUAUUUUGCGCGUCGGAUUGCUUUCUUUUGUAACGAUCUAAUGCAAGUGUAAUUUUAAGUACCUCACUUAGCAUUCUAAUGGUUGUAUGGAUGAUGUUAAGUACUUUGUAUGAUUAUUGUUUUAUGAA